rnacentral:rRNA from 1 species
AGGACCUGCCUUAAAGAUGGGGACAACAGUUGGAAACGACUGCUAAUACCCGAUGUGCCGAAAGGUGAAAGAUUUAUCGCUUUAAGAGGGGCUCGCGUCCGAUUAGCUAGUUGGUGGGGUAAAGGCUUACCAAGGCAGCGAUCGGUAGCUGGUCUGAGAGGACGAGCAGCCACACUGGGACUGAGACACGGCCCAGACUCCUACGGGAGGCAGCAGUGGGGAAUUUUCCGCAAUGGGCGAAAGCCUGACGGAGCAAUACCGCGUGAGGGAGGAAGGCUUUUGGGUUGUAAACCUCUUUUCUCAAGGAAGAAAAAAAUGACGGUUCUUGAGGAAUAAGCAUCGGCUAACUCCGUGCCAGCAGCCGCGGUAAUACGGAGGAUGCAAGCGUUAUUCGGAAUUAUUGGGCGUAAAGCGUCCGCAGGUGGAAUUUCAAGUCUGCUGUCAAAGACCGAAGCUUAACUUCGGGAAGGCAGUGGAAACUGAAAAACUAGAGUACGGUAGGGGUAGAGGGAAUUUCCAGUGUAGCGGUGAAAUGCGUAAAGAUUGGAAAGAACACCCGUGGCGAAGCGCUCUCUGGGCCUGUACUGACCCUAAGGGACAAAAGCUAGGGUAGCGAAAGGGAUUAUAU